GAUGAACGCUGGCGGCGUGCCUAAUACAUGCAAGUCGAGCGAACAGAUGAGGAGCUUGCUCCUCUGACGUUAGCGGCGGACGGGUGAGUAACACGUGGAUAACCUACCUAUAAGACUGGGAUAACUUCGGGAAACCGGAGCUAAUACCGGAUAAUAUAUUGAACCGCAUGGUUCAAUAGUGAAAGACGGUUUUGCUGUCACUUAUAGAUGGAUCCGCGCCGCAUUAGCUAGUUGGUAAGGUAACGGCUUACCAAGGCAACGAUGCGUAGCCGACCUGAGAGGGUGAUCGGCCACACGGGAACUGAGACACGGUCCAGACGCCUACGGGAGGCAGCAGUAGGGAAUCGUCCGCAAAGGGCGAAAGCCUGACGGAGCAACGCCGCGUGAGUGAUGAAGGUCUUCGGAUCGUAAAACUCUGUUAUUAGGGAAGAACAAAUGUGUAAGUAACUAUGCACGUCUUGACGGUACCUAAUCAGAAAGCCACGGCUAACUACGUG
rnacentral:rRNA from 1 species